rnacentral:piRNA from 1 species
GCCUACAUUGGGGUCACCUACUCGUGAU